GCCCGGAUAGCUCAGUCGGUAGAGCAUCAGACUUUUAUCUGAGGUCCAGGGUUCAAGUCCCUGUUCGGGCG
rfam:Astyanax mexicanus Tnplaced_Scaffold4070, whole genome shotgun sequence.